UCUCUAUUGAACCCGUUCCGUUUCAAAGUGUUAAAUUUGUAUUGAAGCAAAGUGUUAUUCAUGUUUCUUCAAUAAAAACCUGAGUUAAGGAGUUCCUGUCGUGGCACAGUGGUUAACGAAUCCGACUGGGAACCAUGAGGUUGUGGGUUCAAUCCCUGGCCUUGCUCAGUGGGUUAAGGAUCUGGCGCUGCCCUGAGCUGUGGUGUAGGUUGCAGACACGGCUCAGAUCCUGCAUUGCUGUGGCUCUGGCAUAGGCUGGGGGCUACAGCUCCGAUUCGACCCCUAGCCCAAAGAGAUAGCAAAAAGACAAAAACAAAAAACCCGAGUUAAAAAGGACUGAAAACCUAAGUGACAAGCACAAAGGAGACUUAAGAAUGGACUACUCAACCAUAUCCCACGCACGCAAUGGGCCAGGCAGAGUCACCUGCCAUCACAGCAAGGCCUCGUUCCGUAGAGGCUGAGCAUUAAUGACUCAGAUGAAAAGUCAGUGGACAAAGUGGGAAAACCAAUUAAAAAUCAGGACUGUAUAAAAAAUUUUAGGUCAAGAACUGAAAAUGGAGGUUAAUAGCCUGAAAAUACAAGUCAUAGCUAACGUGAUUCAACUGGCCAAUGUCCAUGGUCAGUUACUGGCCUACCAUAUCCAUUCCACAAAAUAAAGUUAUGAUUCCACAAAGUUUUAAAUUAAGCAUUUGGUCAAAAGAAAAGUCGGUUUGAGAAAUUUCUAACACUUGCCUAGAUUCAACAAAUGUCAUUUUGCAAAGUUCAAGAUGCCCAAAUUUGCAGAGAUAAUUCAUUAAACCUGAGCUGUCAACUCAUUUGACCGUGACCAGUAAUGAGCAUCAGAAAUAGAGCCAGUAGUCAGUUUAACCUCCUCAAAACAGAAUCACGCUUAGCAAACCACACAACAAUCUUUGUGGCCAUCAACUUACGAUAGAAAAAAGAUUUUAAAAACACCCUCUGAUUAAAAAGGAAUGGCUUCUACUUUCCCCCUCUUUUACCACAUUUACUUGAAAAUACUGUAAUCUUAGGAUCGCGCUUUUUUGAAGUCAACGGUGGUCGGCAUAAUCAAUUGAUUUUGACCCAAUGCUUCCAGAAAGAUGUGUUUGGUAUUUGACUAUUAACCAGGCCCUCAGAGAGCAGAUUGUGCCUGUGACUCUGACCCUAGCUCCCUAACGCCUAAGCGUUUUAGGCCAAGUAAAGCAAGUUGCCGGCCAAUGAGGUGUGGAUACGUCAGCAGGGAUGCCACAGGGCAGGAAAGGGCCCAAGAACCACUCCAAUAAAGCACCAAACUUCUCUCCACUUGACCAUGGGCAGCAGGAACUUUGAAAAGCCACCUCCUGUAUUAAGAGGGGACAGUGGGCAGACCACAUGAAAACCACGUGGGAUUUCUCAGAUUCCCAUCGCCAUACCCUUGAGAAAAUCUUCAGACUGAGCCACAGUCCUCAGAUGGGUUGAGGUGAAAACACAGCCGCUGACUUACAUCAAAACCUUAAUAAUGGCCAUCUUGGGGAACUAGAGUUUUGGGCGACUUUUCCUCCUUCAUGUGGUUGGUUUUAUCCUCAUGAUGCAUGCAUUUCCAGCAAGCUGUUUACACGACUGGGCACUGGAGCUGAGCCACCGGGUUUGGAGGCUGGCUCUGCAGCUCAGUGGCGGGUACAAAUCGUCAUCUAUUUCUGACUCAAUUUUCUGUCAAGGCCAAGCUCACAGUGCCUUCCCCAAAAAGCUACAAUUAGUGAGAUGACGUUCCCAAAGCAGGCAGUGCCUUGCCCAUUAGCGGUGCCAUCAGUGUUAACUGUUACAAAACCCUUAUACCGCUGUAUGGCUUCUUAGAGAAAUAGGCAACAAGUGGAAACCCCAUCUCACUGAUGGGGCCAAUACUACUUUCAGGUGCCACUGAUCACCUGGAAUAAAGCAAGAAGCAUCUGAGAUUCCUUCUCUACCGUGUGUCCCAGUGUUUAUCACUCAGGGCAACCUCAAUUUAUCAGCCACUAUGUUCAUUUUAAGCUACCAAUGGCUUCACGAAUGGCCUGCGACACUCCCAAAUAUUUAACAAUUCUAUUCAUGAGUCAGCACAAUGCUGGCUAGCCUCUCUGAAAUUUAACACUUUAAAUUGCAUUUUAAAUAGCAGUUUGUGUUUGACAAUGAUGGGUGGGGACCAGAAGGGGUGUGUGGGGGGGUGAACCCUGUCCAUAGCCUCAGGCCAGUGCUAACGAGUUAAUUCGUAGGCUGUAUUACCAGUGGGGGCCAUCAGCUGUACAUGGUUUUCUGGUUGGACUGGUUUUUUGGGGUUGAUUUCUCUUAUUGUGGAGGUAAAAUCUAGAGAUUCCUUGGAAACCCGUAGGGUUCUAACAAAUAGGACUAUUACUUCCCAAGCAGCUCCAGCGCUGAGCAAAGGAGCGCGGUUGAGCAACCUCAGAACUGCUUUUUUAAAAGAUUCAAGUAUUUUUUCUUCAAUUCACCUUAAAGAUCAAAAAAGGUGUAAAUUAUGGUAUGUCUGCACCUGUACACUCAUCGCUUGUGUCAUUUUUGCUUGUUUUAUAUUUAAAGUCAACACAUGUUUCUAUUUCCCCACUUCCUGUGUUACUCAGAAGAUAAGCUUAGUGGAAACCAGUGUAAAGCCUUUUUAACCUAAUAGAAUUCGAGUUUCUCCCCAUGUAAUAGGGAGUAUCCUCAUUUUUCACAAUUGCAUGUUUACGUGGCACAUUAAGAACGGCCCAAAUUCCAUGCACUCCUCUGCCCAUUGAGAGGUGGAUGGAUUCUUCACCGUGUGGUGACCUUUGUGACUUGGUUUGGCCAACAGUACAGAGCAAGCGAGGCUUGGCUUGCAGGGGUGAAGAAACGGUCUGUUCUCACCUCCUGCCAACCCCCCGCCCCCCCCGGGGGGGGCAGGUGCUUGGAGGGAGGUCUGAGGUUCAGGAAGCCUCCACUCUAGGAGGUAGCCCAAAGCAGUACAUGUAGAGAGACCUUGCAGAGAGAUUCUUAGAGGGUCCCCAGCUACUUCCAUUCUAGCUCACACCCCAGACAUAGCCAAUGACGACAGUAGGGACUUCAGAUGAUUGGUAUCAACUAUUAUCUGUUUCGCCCUGAGAAUUCCUAAGCGCCCAGCUGAGCUCCAUCACCCCAUGGCAUGGGCCAGAGAGGGAGAGAAUACAGUGUUUUAACUUCUAUAUUUUGAGGUUGUUACAUAGCAACUGAUAACCGUAACACAUUUUGCAGCUACACGAUUUAGUUAGCCCCUUACAGGUCGUUGCGAACUUUGACUUCAAAAGAUGUAAUGAAUAGUCUUGCCUAUAUAUCGUUUUAUGCAGUUGCAAGUAAAGUUCCCAGAGCUGAACAUCGUCAAAGAAGUGAAUUUGCCCUGAUUCCCAUUCAUGUCAAGCAUACGUUUCCUUGCCCGUUUUUCUAUUCUUUUACGUAUCAGUUUCUAGAAAGUCAUUCUACGUCACAGGAGGCACAACUUUUUUCCCCCCACUUAUCUUCGGAUUUUGGUCUGUUGACUUUUGCUCUAAAGAAUUAAGUCAAAUUUAACAUUUAAUCUUUGAUUCACUUGUUCUGAUGAAUACAGUUACUAGUAACAAAUUAUCUUUGUAGCAUGUAAGUGGAAUUACACACAGGGAUAUUUCACUAGGGGAGAUUUGACAUCUUUAUGAAGUUCAGUUUAUGCAAGAAGAUGGUAUUACCUUUGCAUUUAAGGCUUUCAAGUGUUUCAGAAUCAAUUUACAUGUUGACUUGCAACAUUGCUUAGAUUCAGCCUUGGUUACUUCAGCAUUUUUCAUUGUUAUGUUAAGUGUCAAAGAGCCUUCUCUUGCAUUGUAUUUAACGAGUUUAGAUUCAGGAGAGUUCUUGAAAGUGAUUGUUAAGCCUGAAAUAUUUUCGUGAGCUUUUUCAAAUGAUCCUUUUGGGUUAUCCAAGCAUACAAAUUCUAACUUUGCAGUUUCUGCAACUCUCAUUUCUGUUUAUAGCAUUUUAAUCUUACUCCUGACUUUAGUAGGAAUGCCAUUGGUCUCUCUCCUUUAAAGGUAACGUUGGCUUUCAACUUGGUUUACGUGGGAGAACUACACAUCUGUUCCUAGUCCACUGAAUUGUUUACAUCAAUGUAUUUUCAGUUUUAAGCAUCUAAAGUACAUAUUUCUUUGAUCAUCAAUACGGUGAACUCGCAUAUUAGACUUGCUAUUGAACCUUUUGCACUGAAUAAGCCCUGCUUUGUCACAUUGUAUUAUUUGAGUUGCUUGCAUCUGAGAUUUUGUUCCAUAUUUCUGCAUCAGUAUUUAAGUUGAACUGUACGAUUGUUACCAGGUCUCUGUAUGUUUUGCUCGCUUUUCAUCUGUUUAUUAGGCCUUUCCCAUAUCUACUUUGUUCGGCUGGCUUUUCUCACUUUGGUCACCCAAGUUCCUCACUUAAGUUUUGUUUCUUUUCCUGGUUCAUCUUCGAGUUUCUUUCCUCCCACUUCUACCCUGGGCCUCCCCAGCUCACACGUAGUCUCUUUGUCUUAUUACGGCUGCCAACCACUUACUGCAUCUCUGCUUUGUAGAGGCAAGUAAUUGACGUUUGUAGUAAACACUAAACUGCUUUCAGCUGCUUUCUGGCGACAUGUUUAUCUGCCACUUACCUUCCCUAAUCUUUAUUUCUCGAAUCUUUGAAAUAACUUCAGUUUUUGGCCUCUCAACCUUUUGAGGCAGGUGGAUUUUUCUUGGACCACAUGUCCGCAGGGCCACCUCCCAACCUAGUAGAGGUUCUCCUUAUGAACUAGGGUCUUCAGAUGGUUCUAGAUAUAUUCUUGCCAGCCAGAAAAGAGAAGCAGCCUAAAG
rnacentral:lncRNA from 1 species